ensembl:lncRNA
UUCAUACCUUUCUAUUUGGCAAGAGUAUCCCCAAAACAAAGAUUGAAAAUGAUGGUCUUGUUCUUAAAGGAGAGCUGACUGUGGCCAUGCUGAGCACUUCUCAGGAUGAGACCUGCACAGAUCACCUCACAUUAGAAUUCCAUGUCUGACAGCAGCUUUGGAAAGGCAAUGGCAAAUCAGUCUCUUCUGAGGAGGAUAAACAACUGGCAACAAAUGUAGGCAGGAAAGGGUAGCUGUUCAGAGCAUCCUGCAGCAGGCUUCACCCUUGGUUUCUGCUUGCUUUCUGCCUCUUGAAGAAUAAAUGAAAAUGUACCUAGAGAAAUGAGGUUCCUAGAAAGAAGUUCAAAUUCCAGAUGGCUGAUACCACCCAGGCACCAGCUGUUGAGGAGGUAACAAAGUCUGCUUUAAAAAAAGAAAUCAUCAAUGCCAAGAUGCUAUUGCUGCACUUUGGGGUUUUGCUUCUGCUGCUUUCGUCUUGCUUUUAGGGCCACACAUGUCCAGGGUGUGUGUACAGUCCUUGGUAUGAGAAUCGCCCUCCUGAUUACCAUCGGAGAACGUAGCACGUACCAAUAUAAGUAUUGUUUUGUUAGAAGUGAAACCUUUACCAAGCAAUACCAAGGAGCAAUCAAAGGUCACCUGGGCACUGGAUACGUUUUCCUUGAAGGCUGAAGCUCACAACUCAACAAGAGAAUCCACAGUGAUCUCUAAGAGGCUGAUCUCAAAAGAAGUUACACCUCUUGUGUUUUCUUC